GUUUGUGAGUGCUAGUCAGCCUUUGAAUGCUUUUGCUUUUAUUGUUGAUGGUUUGCAUUAUGGAGUUUCAGACUUCCCGUAUGCUGCUUAUUCCAUGAUGCUUGUUGGGAUUUUAUCGUCUGUAUGUAACAGCCCAAAAUCUCAAGUAUUGUUAAAUUGCAAUUUGGGGUGUUUUAAAGGAGAGACUCGGCGAGUUGGAGCCAGACUCGCCGAGUAGGGUCGCAGAGUUGGUCGCGGGUUCGCGACUGGACUCGACGAGUCCAGGUAUGGACUCGGCGAGUCGACGCUGUUCGGUGGAAAACCCUAGCCGUUCGGGUUGGGAAGUAUUUAAGGGAUCUUAUGCCUCCAUUGUUCGCCUUUUGGCCGACUGAGAAGGAUCCUAAAUCGGUUGUGGGCAUCCAGAACAAGGUUUGAAGAUCAUUAGUGAUUUGAGGAAGUUAUGGUCCAAGAAGGAGAAGGUUAUGGCUAAUGGGACAGCAAGGGAAUCACGUUUUGAGGCUUGGGGACACUGAGAGUGCAUGAUUCAGGGAACCUGCGGACUAGCGGAUUGUGUGCGAGUAGCUCGAAGAGGUUAUAGCCUGCGUACUACGAGGUUCUUACAGUAACGCGGGAUGGCAACGGUUCGAUUGUACACACCGAAGAAAGAGUUGUGUUUUGGAGGAUCCUGGUCUUCUAUUAUAAUGAAAAUGAAACCAUGUUUUGUAAUUCGAAUGUGAAUACGAUUUUAAACAAGUGUCUUUAAUAUUAAAUUGAUUAAUUAAAUAAAAAUUU